AGCCAUCAGAUUAUAUUGUUGGUUCAACCUGCCCAAUGUAAAAUUAAUGGCCGCGGUACUUUGACCGUGCUAAGGUAGCGUAAUCAGUUGGCUUUUAAAUGGAGUCAGGAAUGAAUGGGAUAACCUGGUUUAGCUGUCUUUUAUUUAAUAUAUUGAAUUUACUGUUCAAGUGAAAAAGCUUGAUUUAUUUAAAGGGACGAGAAGACCCUUAGAAUUUUUUUUAAGAGAAUUAAUUUUUUUUGUAAUUUUGUUGGGGCGACAAAGAAGAACUUAAAACCUUCUUUAUAUUACAAGCCGGUUAUAUUAUGAAAGAAUAAAUUACCUGAGGGAUAACAGCAUAAUUCUAUAGUUGAGUUUGUGACCUCGAUGUUGGACUAGGAAACUAGCAGGCUAGCCGUUUGCUAUGUUGGUU
rnacentral:rRNA from 1 species